GACGAGGGGUCCUAGCGUUGUUCGGAAUAAUUGGGCGUAAAGCGUAGGUAGGCGGCUAUUCAAGUCAGUUGUGAAAGCCCCGGGCUCAACCCGGGAAGUGCUUCUGAUACUGUUUAGCUUGAGUACUAGAGAGGGCAGUAGAAUUCCAGGUGUAGUGGUGAAAUACGUAGAUAUCUGGAGGAAUACCGGUGGCGAAGGCGGCUGCCUGGCUAUGUACUGACGCUGAGCUACGAAAGCGUGGGGAGCAAACAGG
rnacentral:rRNA from 1 species